CAGUAGCCGCGGUAAUACAGAGGGUGCGAGCGUUAAUCGGAUUUACUGGGCGUAAAGCGUGCGUAGGCGGCUUCUUAAGUCGGAUGUGAAAUCCCUGAGCUUAACUUAGGAAUUGCAUUCGAUACUGGGAAGCUAGAGUAUGGGAGAGGAUGGUAGAAUUCCAGGUGUAGCGGUGAAAUGCGUAGAGAUCUGGAGGAAUACCGAUGGCGAAGGCAGCCAUCUGGCCUAAUAAUGACGCUGAGGUACGAAAGCAUGGGGAGCAAACAGGAUUAGAUACCCGCGUAGUCCCUGUCUCUUAUAC
rnacentral:rRNA from 1 species